CCUACGGGAGGCAGCAGUGGGGAAUAUUGGGCAAUGGGCGCAAGCCUGACCCAGCAACGCCGCGUGAAGGAAGAAGGCUUUCGGGUUGUAAACUUCUUUUCUGAGGGACGAAGAAAGUGACGGUACCUCAGGAAUAAGCCACGGCUAACUACGUGCCAACAGCCGGGGUAAUACGUAGGUGGCAAGCGUUAUCCGGAUUUAUGGGGUGUAAAGGGCGUGUAGGCGGGUAAGCAAGUCAGAUGUAAAAACUCAGGGCUCAACCCUGAGUCUGCAUUUGAAACUGUUGUUCUUGAGUGCUGGAGAGGCAAUCGGAAUUCCGGGUGUAGCGGUGAAAUGCGUAGAUAUAAGGAGGAACACCAGUGGCGAAGGCGGAUUGCUGGACAGUAACUGACGCUGAGGCGCGAAAGCGUGGGGAGCAAACAGGAUUAGAUACCCGUGUAGUC
rnacentral:rRNA from 1 species